GUCAAUGGAAAAUUGGCUCAAAAAGGGAAGAGCCCAAUCCCAAACCAGUAAGCGGUUUACAUAGUUAAAUGAACAGGCUUUUUCUGCCCUCGAAAGAAGAGAAAGUGCACCAAAAACUCAGGCCAAUAAAAGCACCUAAAAGAUACUAUUCAGUCAAGCUUAGCAGGAGCCACCAUGCUCCCUUGACCACCUGACACAUAAGCCCCAGAUUAGAUUUGUUAAGGGGAGGUCCAAACUCCAAAGUCUGACUUAAAUUUUUAAGAGGAUUUUGGGAAAAUAUUAAAUUCAAAAAAUAAAUUUGAGUAAAGAUUUAAGUUGAUUUAAAAUAUAGAUUGAGCUCAAAUUUAAAUAUUUAAAUUUAAAUUCGAUUUGAUUAUUUUUAAGUUUAUAAUAUUUUAUAUUAUUUUUUUAUAUAUAUUAUAUAAUUUAUAACAUAUUAAAAAAAUAAACUCAUACUAAAUAUAUAAUAUUACUCUAAUGUAAAUAUUAAAACUAUGACAUGCAUUGAAUUGAAUUGAAACUGACUUGGUUACUAGUCAAAUAUGUUCUCUAUUUAGGAGGGAUCACAAAGAAGAUCAACUGUGGACUAAUGAUAUGUUGGAACACUAAAACUGUUAUGUUGGAUGUCCACAUAAUCAUAUAUAACACUAUUUCCAUGCAUGGUGGGAUUUCCCGGGUUCGGGAACCACUAUUUUUUUUAGAGGGACUUUGUAUUUAGAGUUUGAUUGCAUUUAGUCGCUCUACUGAAAAAUUAGACAAAUUAAUCACUUCGUUAAAUUUUUUAUGAUAAAUAAUUACGUGGAAUGUUAAUUUAAAUGGUUUAUUACUAAUUUGAUCCCUAAACUAUAGCUAAAAUUUCAUUUUGACUUUUUUUGAAAAUUUUCUCAACAAUAAUUCUAAAAAUUUUAAAAAUAAAUAUAAAUUAUUAAAAAUUAUGUUAACAAUUCAAUAAAUUUAUCCCUCAAUGUUUACAAAAUUUUAACAUAAUUUUUAAUAAUUUAUAUUUAUUUUUAAAAUUUUUAUUUUUUUUUAAAUUGUUGUUAAUAAAAAAACUUUUAAAAAAUCAAAAUAAUAUUUUAGCUAUAAUUUAGGGACCAAUUUAAUAAUUAACUAUUUAAACUAACGUUGCACAUUAUUAUUUAACAGAAAAAAUUUAAUAAAGAAGUUAAUUUGCACGUUUUAAAAUAUAUAAGAGCUAAUUUACUCUCUUUUUUUAAGUAAAAAAACCGAAAUGUAAUUCAUACCUUAGUAAAAGACCUGAUACUUUUUACAUUACUUUUGCUUUCAUGAUUUUGUAUCAUUCAAAUCUGUUGCUCUUUCUUUCUGUCUUUAUCACUGCCAUUCUUCAACUCCUCCCAUCAAAUCCCCGGCCUCCAUGUACUUUGCUACACAGAGUUGAAAUAGUAUGUACUCCACAAAGAUUAGGAGAGGAUUAAGGCUCUAAAUCAAGCAGGUGAACAUGAGCUAAGGUUUUUUCCUAUUGGGUUGGCCCCCUUAUGUGAAAUAACUCCUUGUUUUAAACCCAAACCUUUAAUGAUUAAUCAUUUGGUGGAGCAUACAGUUAAAAGUUGAAAUGGAAAAGAAAUGACUACUGUAACACUCCUAACCCGUAUCCCUCACCGGAACUGGGUUACGAAGUAUUACCGGAGAUUACAGAUUAAACAGACAGAAAUCUCAAACAUUUUAUAUCAUUAAAACAAGUCAUCAAAGCAUCAUUUUAAUCCAAAUUAUAAACUCUCCAAAAUAGAUUUUAUAACUUCAUUAAGAAUCAAACCACAAAAUAACUAAUAUUUAGACACUCUAGGUACAUGCCGACACAAAGAAAUAAACAUCACCAUAUUUGAGUUCGGGAUCGUUGUUGGGUGCUGAAUCAGCGAUCAGACUUAAGUACUUAACCUGCGCAUGGAAAAUAAAACCGUACGCUGAGUAAAAACUCAGUGGUAUUUCUAUAAUCUGAAUAUUUAAAAAAAUAAAAAAUGUAUAAUAAAAUGUUAAGCACAAUUGAACAUUUAAAAUCACACAAUACUCGAUUUUCAUCACUUGCUAUAUAUAAUACCUUUCCAUAAUUUAUUCACGUAUCAUUUAAAUAAUAGCACUAUCCAUUCCACAAUCAAUUUAUGAGUAUAUAACUCGUGUAUUCCAUGUAUUUACAACAUAUUUCACAUUCUAUUUUCAGUUUACUAUCUCAUAUUCUUAUUCUUAGCCCAAAGUAGAUUUUAUAGAAUACACCGGAUAUACGAGACAAAUACAGAGGUGCAUUGUUAUGCACUAAUGAACAGAGAGCACUGAAGUGCUAUACAAAGAGCACAUAUGUGCUAAACAGAGAGCACUGACGUGCUAGUAAUCAGAGAGCACUAACGUGCUAAUAAUCAAAGAGCACUGAUGUGCUAAUUAUCAGAGGGCGCGCUAAAGUUCCUUAAUGGCAUGCCACUAAUAUCCAAGUAAUUCUAAAGUCCGUCUACUUGGGCAUUAAAAUUGAAUUUUAUACAUAUAAAAAAUAAUCCAAUUAUCAUAUUUGCACAAUUUCACAUUUACACAUAUAUAUAUAUUCAUAAUAUAUAUAUUCCAAUUCAAUUCAACCAAUAUAAUUCCAUCACAUAUCAAGACAAUCCAUUUCAAUUGUAAAACACAAUAAUUCUCACCUCAAUCACUUACUAUAACAUUUAAUCAAAAUACAACAAUUAAUAAUUAGAUUCUGAUUAUAGAAAUACAAAUCAGGAAUUCCGAGCUAUUCGAUGUCGACUAUAUUUUUCCCCUUUUUAGUCGAGAAUUUCGGUACGACGCUAGUAACGGAAUUAAAACAAUUAAAAAUCAUCAAUACAACACCAUUCAAUCUCACAUUAAAUAUUUCAAUUUUUACUCAAUAUUUGCCUAAAUUUCAAUUUAGUCCCUAAACCGAGACUAACUUUUAUUCUCAAAACUAAUUUCAUAUUUUCAUUCCUUUCCUACUUUAAACUAAUUUAACUCUCUAAUUUCACCAUAAAUCUUUAAUUUUGAAAUUCCCUCAAUUUAGUGCCUAUUAAUUCAAAACCUAUAAUUUAUUUUACAAUUUAAUCCAUUUCUCUAUUAUAAUUUGAAAUUUUAUCAAUUUAAUCCCUAAUUCUUCAAUUAAUUCAACAUGAACAACAUCUAAAAAUUUACUAACUUUCAAAAAUUUCAACUUAAAUCAAGUAGUAUUUUGUUCUAGAAUUCCAAAAACAUCAAAAUUAUAAGAAAAGAGACUAAAUUAACUUACCAAUCAAUGAACCCUGAAAUCCCAAAUUUUCUUUCUUUCCUUCCCUUUUUCUUUUUCUUUCCUUUAUUCCCUGUUUUCGUUUUGCUAUUCUGUUUUUAUUCUCUUUUUCUAUCUUUUAUUUAAUUAAUAAUAAUAUAAUAAAUAAAUAUCUUUUACUUAAUUAAUAAGCAUGCACAUAUAUUAAUUACAAAUGUAUACAUAUAUGUAUUUAUAAUUAUCACACACUUGUCACUUUUUAUGGUUUAAUUAUUAGUUUAGUCCUUUCACCUUUUUCUAUUUUAUAAUUAACUUUCACACCUAAUUCAAUUUAGUCUUAAUACUCAAUUAACUUUAAUUUAACUAAAUUCACUCAACUAAAAUUCAAUUGGUGAUAUAACUAAUUCUAUAAAUAUUUUUAAUAAUUAUUUUACGAGUCCGUUUUACCAAGACGGAGACCCGAUAAUUCACUAAUUCAAAAAUAUUUCUAAAAUCAAGCUUAAUUUAUAAUUAUUAAUUAAUAAAUUUUUCUAACUUUUUCAUCGAAUUUAGUGAUCUCAAAUCACUGUUAUGAUACUACUGAAAAUUAAACUGUUACAAUUACUUAUUUCCUUUUGAGCCUGCUCGACAUUUUCAUGCUUUGUUAUCAGCUCCAGAUGAUGGAAGCUCACAUUUAUUGUUAGUCUUUGGAUGUUGGAUCUCCUGUUGCAGUCUUCCUUUCUCAAAUUUCAAACAAAGAGCUUGCAUUAUUAAGAUAAAAAUGAAAACUGAUAAAAAAAAAAAAAGCUGUUUGGCAUGAUCGUGAUGAAUCUAGGUAUAUAAAUUGUAUGUUAAACUGUGACGUGACCUAUCUUCUUUCUUAUCCUUUAUUUGAUGUUGUUUAAGGAUCCAAUCCAGAUUUGAUGUCUAACUAAAAAAUUGAUAUAAGUUCUUUUGUCAUCUCAUCCUGAUUUACUCAACUUUAUUAUUGUUUCUUAAUCACUUAAAUAUGAUAAUUUUUUUUAUAUUAGAGUCUAUUUUUUUUUCAAGUUAGGUCCUAAAUUUGAUAAUUGUUUCUAUAUUAGAGUCUGAAUUUAAUAACUAUUUCCAAAUUAAGGAUUGAACUUUAGGUUUUCAAGGACUAAUUUUAGGGUCAAAUUUAAAGUCUAACUUGAAUAAAAAAAUUCAGACCCCAAUAUAUAAAAUGUUACCAAGUUCGAGUCUCAAAUGUUAUUUAACCCUUUCUUAAUUAUAAGAUAACAUGAUUUUUUGUUUCACCGUGCACUAAUUUGAAGAUCUUAAGCGUGAUUGUAUAGGAAUCUAGACCGGAAAUGGGGACGACAAACCUAAGACGCUGCCAGGUUAAUAGGAGAUUGGAAUUGGCUGCCCUCUGUGUGUCGUGCCGUUGUUGAAAAGUGGGUGUUCGGUGCGCUGCGCUAAAGGUGCAUUUGGUAGGUUGAACUUUACACUGUUAUAUCCCAAAAUAAUAUAACAUUGUUUAGGCUGCCUCCUAAGUAUCUUAAAUUAGGGCAUGAUCUUAAAUUUUAGACUAAUUUAUUUUCUACUUUUUAUUAUUUUAAUCAAUUUAGUACUUUAUUUAUAAAAUAUUAUGAAACCUUCCUUCAAUCAAAUUUCCAAUGUAUAUUUUUUAUGCUGUGAUUUCUAAAUCCAUCCAACUCAAGCAAAAAGCCAAAACAUUCUAAUUAAUUAGUCAAUUUCAACUCUUUAAUUUGCCUCUCAUUCCAAUGAAAAAAAAUUAAUUUACAAAUACCCAGAAUUUUGUUUGUUUGUUCUUCCACCAACAAAUUAAUGACACAGAAAUCACAAGUUGUACUGUAAUAGUAGCAAAAGAAAUAGAAAACCUUCAAGUUCUUUACUCCCAGCCAGGUCACUUCAUGUAAAGAUAGCGCACAUGCUUCCCUCACCAGUCUCCAGUUUAAGUAGUCAAAGAAGCUUUGAUUCUGAUGUAAAAGCCUUGAGUACUGCCACAACUUCAUGACUAUACAAAAGCCCAUUCUUUCUCUC
rnacentral:lncRNA from 1 species